AUGAUCCUCAAGUACUUCAACAUUGAGGAAUCUACCAGAAGGAUCGAUAAUUUUGAUAAUCCAGCCGUGUUUGAAGAAAAUGUUGAUAAUUCUAUGGUUGAUGAGCAACCAAUUGGUGGCAUUAAUCAAAAUGAUGUGAAUAUGCUUGAUGUCAACCAUGAGGAAGAUGAAGCAUGGAUAAAUGCUAUAACAAAUCAAUACCAUGAGCAAACACAAGGAUAG